rnacentral:rRNA from 1 species
UACGUAGGGGGCAAGCGUUGUCCGGAUUUAUUGGGCGUAAAGAGCGUGUAGGCGGUUAUACAGGUCCGCUGUGAAAACUGGAGGCUUAACCUCCAGACGUCGGUGGAAACCGUAUGACUAGAGUCCGGAAGAGGAGAGUGGAAUUCCUGGUGUGAGCGGUGAAAUGCGCAGAUAUCAGGAAGAACACCCGUGGCGAAGGCGGCUCUCUGGGCCGUAACUGACGCUGAGGAGCGAAAGCGUGGGGAGCGAACAGG